CGGGACGGGUGAGUAACGCGUGGGUAACCUGCCUCAUACAGGGGGAUAACAGUUAGAAAUGACUGCUAAUACCGCAUAAGACCACAGCACCGCAUGGUGCGGGGGUAAAAACGUCCGGUGGUAUGAGAUGGACCCGCGUCUGAUUAGCUGGUUGGUGAGGUAACGGCUCACCAAGGCGACGAUCAGUAGCCGGCUUGAGAGAGUGAACGGCCACAUUGGGACUGAGACACGGCCCAA
rnacentral:rRNA from 1 species